UGAAAGGUCUGGUUAUUUAGCUGAAUGCUCUACAUUUAAGGGGCAGUGGAAGCCAUUUUCCUUGAAACCUCCAUUUGAAACUAAAGGUUAAGAAGCUUGUCUAGCAGCCUGGAUUAUUGAGACUUUACUGCUUCUAAAUCACUCUAUCUGCUUCAGUCAUCAUUCUGAAAGCAUUUAUGAAGCAACCAUGAUGUGCAGGCACCGUUCUAGGCAUGGGACACAUCAGUGAACAAAGCAAUGUUGACUGCCUUGUGGAGCUUGCAUUUUAGCAGGAGGAGACAGGAAGUAAUUAUCGAAAAUGUGGACUACUACAUUUGGAUCUCUUUUUCUUCUUCCUUCACCAUUGUACCUGUUCUACAGUGCUAAGUCCCCCACCCCACCUCACCCUCUCCACCCGCAGACAAUGGACAGAAUGGAGAAAAGAUAAUCUGGUAUCUUGGUCAACUCUUAGAUGAGUGUAUUUGAGAAGCUGUUGCCUAGAAUGACAUUUUUGAGUUCUUUGUGGUUUUUUGAUUAUCCAUGCAUUCUUUAUUACUAUUGGCAAGGGCUUCUAGAGAGAAGCUCGGGAUAACUUUACACAAGAACCACUAUUAUUGCAGGGAAGUAAGGGUUAAGUAUAAUGUAUGGAAUUAAAUGUAAGUGCUGCAGCUGUUCAGCUGGGUAUAAUAAUACACACCUGAUACUAUUUACAUUCUGGUGUCCUAGUAGCAGCUGCUAACAACUUUUAAACAAAGAAAGCACAGAAUAUUUGCAUAACUAAUUCUAAGUUUAGGAAUUUGCUUGAUUAUUGUUAAUAAUGAAAAGAAGGAAAAAAUAAAAACUAUAUAAUUGGUG
rnacentral:lncRNA from 1 species